UACGUAGGGUGCAAGCGUUUGUCCGGAAUUAUUGGGCGUAAAGAGCUCGUAGGCGGUUUGUUGCGUCGGCUGUGAAAUCCCGAGGCUCAACCUCGGGUCUGCAGUCGAUACGAGCAAACUAGAGUGUUGCAGGGGAGACUGGGAAUUCCUGGUGUAGCGGUGAAAUGCGCAGAUAUCAGGAGGAACACCGGUGGGCGAAGGCGGGUCUCUGGGCAACAACUGACGCUGGAGGAGCGAAAGCGUGGGGGAGCGAACAGG
rnacentral:rRNA from 1 species